rnacentral:lncRNA from 1 species
AAAGGCUAUACGUAAAGGAGUAGGGGGCAGCUAUCUGGGCUAUUUAAAAGGGAAAGUCUUCUUGCGUGGAAAGGGACAGUGCGGGCCACUAUUACUAGUAAGGUUGCAAAGACAGCUAUCUUCUCCUUGCUUGCACCCUGGGGUUCCCCCCAAAAACACCAUUCCCACUAGCUACGAGGAAGAGCUACCUAGUAUCUUACAAAAGAAGUUGUGGACUCAGAUAUGAUGCUCGUACUUAUAUUUUGAUUUCCCUCGGGAAGAGACCCCUUCUUGGCCCAGAUAUCCUUUUCCCAGUUUCUCACUUUUUUCUCGAUUGCCAAGCCCAAGGUUAGGGAAAGGGAGAACGUCUCGUAUAUAUACGAUAGGUUGGAAUAUUUUUUAUGUACUAUGCUGCCUUUGGCCCUGCGCUUGGUCUUUCUUCGAAAUUGCCUUGGCCUUUCACC